rnacentral:rRNA from 1 species
UACGUAGGAGGCGAGCGUUGUCCGGAGUUACUGGGCGUAAAGGGCGCGUAGGCGGCUCUGCACGUCCGUUGUGAAAUCGCCCGGCUCAACUGGGCGGGGUCAGCGGAUACGGCAGAGCUUGAGCAAGCUAGGGGGCAAUGGAAUUCCCGGUGUAGUGGUGGAAUGCGUAGAGAUCCGGAGGAACACCAGUGGCGAAGGCGGCUUCCUGGUCUGCGACUGACGCUGUGGCGCGAAAGCUAGGGGAGCAAACGGG